rnacentral:rRNA from 1 species
UACGAAGGGGGCUAGCGUUGUUCGGAAUUAUUGGGCGUAAAGGGCGCGUAGGCGGCGCGGAUAGUCGGCGGUGAAAGCCCGGAGCUCAACUCCGGGUCGGCCGUCGAUACUUCCGGGCUUGAGCACUGUAGAGGCAGAUGGAAUUCCGGGUGUAGCGGUGGAAUGCGUAGAGAUCCGGAAGAACACCGGUGGCGAAGGCGGUCUGCUGGGCAGUUGCUGACGCUGAUGCGCGACAGCGUGGGGAGCAAACAGG